CAAGCUCGGGGUGGAGGGGCGCGGGGGAGCUGAUGUCUGCGGUGGUGGCUCUCAAGGAAGACUCUGGAGGCACCCGCGCCGGGGCUGCUCGGGGGCCCGUCCCCACCUUAGCACUUGCCCUGCCGCAGCCAUCCGCGGCCUCCUGGGCGCCCCUGUCCCGUGCUCUCCCCUCCCGCAGGCCCGCCCCACCCGGGCAGGGGGCUGCUCCCUCGCUCCGGCCCCGAGCUCGCUCUGAUGCCCCGGGCCCCGCAGGAAGGCACAGGUUUCCAAGGCGGCCACCCCGCGUAAGGAGCCGAGGGGCCUGGGGGCGGCCCCGGCGGGGCCAGCUCGGUGGGCUCGGGGCGUCCGCAGUCCUAGGCGGCAGCCUCCCGGCCCAGACACCCAAUGGAAGCGCCGCAGGGCCAGCCGGUGGGCCGUGGGGCGCCCUCCGCCCCCUGAAAGGCGCCUUCCGACCCGGCGUCGCAAGCCUCGCGCGGCCCCGCCGGCCUCUCGGAGCGCGGCCUCCUCUCCCCGCGCGGACCGUUCCUCGCGGACCGCCCUCCGCGAGCCGCGCCCCGCGCCCGCCGUUGAUCCUCGCCCCGCCCGCCGUUGAUUCCCGCCAGCCGUUGAUCCCCGCCCGCCGUUGAUUCCCGCCAGCCGUUGAUCCCCGCCCGCCGUUGAUCCCCGCCCGGUGGCCGCACCUCUGCUCCGCCAUGUUCCCAGGCUGGCCCGCCGCGAGGGCGUGCUGCCACCCGCUCGGUGUUACAGCGCCGUCCCGCAGGCUCAGUGCCCGUCUGGGGGCUCCUUGUUGGCUCUGAAGAUGCUGGUGCUGGCUGCUCGAACCUCCAGGCUGUUCGUCAGUAAGGGUCGCCCAAGAACGAGGUUGACAAAGGCGGUGCUUGAUGAAGGCCAUCAGCUCAGUUCUCCACCUCACUGAUGUCCAGGAAGACAGAGGGAGAAAAGCUUUUAGACCUGUCAAGGAGGACUUCACCACCACAUCUGCCAGUUUUGGGCCCUCCCUGCAAAAGUCGCUGUGCCACUGCCACUGUCGUAGGGUGGAGGUGAGCUGCUCUGACAUCCUCAGCUUCCUUGUACAGCCAUUGCUGAAGACCUGGGCUUGGAGAAGGUAGUUGAGCCAUAGUGGCUUAAUAAGGUCUUGGGGGAUGACACAGGCCAUGUCAGACUGCACUGCCUCAGCCACUUUCCCCUUGCAGACCUGUGUUACUAAAACAUUACCAGUCACUGACUUGGCUGACCUUUAUUAUGAAACAAGACGUGCAAUUUCUUGUUCUCCUUCUUUUGCUGUUCAUGUUGACUCUCUUUCUCCCUAUAGAGUCAAGCUCACUUUUGGGGUUCCAUUUAGUAAUGAGAACAGAGGCCCUUGCAUUCCCAUCCCUCAGUCAUAGCUGCAGCAUCUUCUAUUUUAACCUCCCCGUAUCUCCUAUCACCUCAGUCCUCUCUGUCACACUUGCCUCCUACAGAAUGGAGUCACCAAAACCUAUGUUUGUGGAUUCUUCUAUCUUUUUCAUAUAGUCCCUCCUCCAGUCACCAGCAGUCCCCAAUCUUCACCUGCUAGCCCAUCAUUCCUUCCAUGGUCACGUCUACCAUCACAACCAGCACGCCAGCCUGCUUUGGACUUUGGUAUCACUGACAAGGACGCCACUUUCUCUUCCCAGGCUCUUAUCUCCAGGUCUCACCCAGGCUUUAGGGAGAACUUCUUUUUAUUUUCCAUGGCACUUCCUCGUUCUGAGAAGAUGUCUCCCUGUGGCAGCAUUGCCUCAGACCCAGUUUCCACCAGCCUGCCUGCACAGUCAGCAGCCCAAACGCAACUUUCAAACUCCCUUUGACCUGGGAACCACCACCAUCCCUUGGCCCACAUUUAGGGCUCCUGAUGGGCUGCAGCCUGGAGCCACCCAAUGGCAGCUCUCUCCCUUUUGGAAGCCAGCCAGCUCUAGCACAAGCUACAAUUUGAGCUUUGCCACAGCCCAGCCACUCAAUGGCAGCACAAUUCAAUGAGCUUUGUGGGUUAACAUCCCCAUUUUCCACCUUUGGCAUCCCUGUCAGCACCCAGCUAGACUUCGGAGACACCCAGGCAUUUUUCCCAGUGGCACAGCCGCUACUUCUGUCUUAAGAGCAACUACCACUGGGGACAGUAGCUCAUUGUUUGCUAACACCACUGCAGACCCAUUUGUGUUGUGGGUUCUGCAGCCCUUAUGGAUGGCAGCAGCUUUGGGUGACUGUGGCUGCCCAGGCCCCAGCUCCAUUCUGGAGGACUCAACUUUGAUGCAGGACCAAGCAGACACUGGUCCGCUAAGUUGGGGACACUUAGACCUGAGCACCAGGGUCCUGCUGACUAUGGCACUUCACUUGCAAUUGGAGAGCUCACUUGUACAGCAAAUCUGUCCUGGAAGACACUUUCCUUUCUGCCUCAUAGUCAGAGCACUUGGAGCCAGCUGGGUGAAGGCACAUCCGUGACUACUGAAGGAGUCAGCACCACUGAGAAGAAAUGAGUGCCAGGUCACACUUUUUUCCUCCGAGUGGUCAGAUCAGCUGGGAUCCUGCGUACCAGAGCAUAUCUGUUGCAGUCAGAGGAACUGAGCACCAUAACUGUGUUGGGAAAUCUUCUUCCUGCCUUCUGCUGGAGCUCCUGGGGUCCCCCUGGCCACAGCAUGUGUGCUGCAGUGGGAGGGAUGAGCACCAUUUGUAUGCUUGGAGGUAUUUCUCUUCAUGUCUACAAUCAGAGCACCUGGGCACACCGGCCAGAGUUCAUCUUUAGAAGUUGUAGAGCCAGUGCCACAACUGUGCUUGCAGCCCCUUGUGUUCCUGCCUACAGUCACAGCACCUGGGGCCUGUGUGAUAUGAUGGAUGGAGGAGGGCAUCACCAAACUUGUGCUUGGGGCCUUCCCACCAUCAUUCUGAGCUCCUGGGGUGCUCAUCGUCAAAGUGUGACUCUUACAGUCAGAGGGACAACGCCAAAAUUUUUAAGGGGACGUUUCUACUUUUUCCUGCAGUCAGAAUACCUGGUCAUCCAGCCAUGGUACCCCCUUUGACUUUCGGGGGGCAGCACUACUAAGAAAAUGCCUGUGUUUGGAGGCACUUUUGCUCCUAUAUUUGGUCAGAAGUAAUUCCAACUCAGAUGUGGUCACAGCAAUUAUCAGCCUUGCCUUCGGGGCACCUUUGCCACCAUCCACACCUGUGGGAGCCAGAAGUGUAGGACUACCAACCCUUCAUUUUGUCCUAGUGCAAGAUGCAGAUCUCAUCAAUUAAGAAGCAAAAGCUUCCAAGAAUGGAACUUGCUCUGCUGGGAAGAGGCUCAGUCCUUUGUAGUUAUGUCAAACAAACGUAACCGCUCUCUGUCUUCCCACUGCAAGCUGGAGGUCCCACGCCUCAGGGCAUGUGUGUGUGUGUCAGAGUGGGUAGGGCAGAGGAGGCUGGUCAGUUCUCAACAGUCGAAGUUCCACUGCAGAGAGUAGAAGAAAGAUCUGUACAUAUCAUCACCUGAGCCAUUCCUGGCUUUGACUGUUAGCCUGGCCAACCCAAGCUCUGGGACAAUUUUCCUCUCACCUUGGAACUGGUAGGACACAGCCUCCUGCUUACAGCUGCCCCUUUCUCCUUACUCAUUUGCCUCAAUGGGCACUUAUCUUUCUGUUCCAGAUUAUGUGUAUAAAGCUUUGUUCUUGCUAGUGCAUCCUCUGCUCAUGUGUCCUUUCUCUUUGACUCAACUUUGGAGGAAGAAUUGAUGUGUAUUAAUGGUGAUGUAUUUGACCAAACUUAACUGUGCAAAGUUUUCUGUGGCCUAGCAAAUAGGAAGUGGACGUUCCCACACCUUAUGACUUCUGAAGUCUCUGUGCUUCUAGUGAAGGGAUGGCAACCAGGGGGACAUGAGAUCCAGAGGAUGGAGAGACAGCGUGACUUGAACUUGCUGCUUCCCCUGGGGUUCUCCCACCAUCUGACCUCAGUGUAGGUGAUACUACCCCUGAUGUGUGUUCAGAAGUCACAGUUUUAGUCAUUUAAAAGUGCCUCAGUGUCUUUUUUUUUAUUUAGACUUAGGCCAAUUGUCCCCACACAUUCCCACUUCACCUGGAGAGGGUGAGCCUGGCAUCUAGGCUCAUGGGCCUGAAUAAAGGCAGGAAGAGCUCACACUUGCUCUGUAAUGAUUUGAAAUGUUAACAUAUUACAUAUUGCACUUGUUAUCAUGCUGCUUCAAGGAUCAGAACAUAUCCUCUUUUCAGGGAAAUAACUCGGCAGGGCUUACUUGGGAAAAUAACCAGUCUGGCUCUUGUCUACACUACUAAAAUAUCAAAUUGCAAGAAAUAUGCUUUCACCCAGAUCUGGCUGACCUUAGAGUCCUGCAGCAUCUCCACUAGACCUAAUUCCUGACAAUGCAGUCCUUUCUAAGGCAUUUCAUAUUAGGAGAACCUACUUAGGAACAGGGAAAGAGAAAAGUACAAACAUUUCCCCCAGCAACUUCCCUAUUGUUUUACUAAACAUUUAUUCAGUUAAGACUCCACACUAGUCUUUAUGCUAGGCUCUAGUGAUGGUUGAAAGAUAUCUCUUGCCCCUGAGAAGUUUACAAUGCAGUGUGGAAGACGGAUAAAUAGACCCAGAGUUUAUAGCUGGAAGGCUCAGUGCUAGAGUAAUGGGAGCAGCUAAGGAGGACAUAAAACUGAGUCUAGGGUGGAAGAAAUUUGAGUUGCUCCUUAAAGAAGAAAGAGGAAGAAGCCAGGUGAAGAAGGACUAGUUCCAGGUCAAAGAAAUUGUAUGCGAAAAGUCUGGGAAGGAAGUGAGAUCCUGAGCCAGUGGGGCACAAGUCAGGGAGUUGGGUGUGGCUGGUGACUGAAUCUGGGGCUGGAAGGUACAGCUGCAGGAUUCAGUAGGGGCUAUCAUGGUCAAACUCGUAUACCACAAUGGGGCAUUUGUCUAUUUGAAAGUGAGGGGAGUCUUGAAAGGAUUGUUAGCAAACAAGGGGCAAGAUUAUAUGUAGACUUUAGAAAUAUCCCUGUGGUUUUAUGAGAUGGAGGAAUUAAAUGGGAGCCAGAGCAGAGGCAAAGAGGCUAAUGGGAAACUUUGUAGUGACCCAGGCUGAGAUAAGACAAUGAGCUCCUGGCCUAGAGUUGCUGUUGGUAGCGGUGGUGUUGGGGUAAAGUGGGGAGGUGAAGUAGGUAACUGCAACAAAACCAGGCUUAUUCCAGUCUUCUUUUUUGGGUAAAAUGGAACAUGAGUAGUUUUGGCAAAAUUAAGUUCAAUUUUUUUUAAAGAUUUUAUUUUUUCCUUUUUCUCCCCAAAGCCCCCUGGUACAUAGUUGUGUAUUCUUCGUUGUGGG
rnacentral:lncRNA from 1 species